UACGUAGGGUGCGAGCGUUAAUCGGAAUUACUGGGCGUAAAGCGUGCGCAGGCGGUUCGUUGUGUCCGUCGUGAAAGCCCCGGGCUUAACCUGGGAACUGCGAUGGAAACUAGCGAGCUGGAGUGUGGCAGAGGGGGGUGGAAUUCCGCGUGUAGCAGUGAAAUGCGUAGAUAUGUGGAGGAAUACCGAUGGCGAAGGCAGCCCCCUGGGAUAACACUGACGCUCAUGCACGAAAGCGUGGGGAGCAAACAGG
rnacentral:rRNA from 1 species